rnacentral:rRNA from 1 species
GACGAACGCUGGCGGCGUGCUUAACACAUGCAAGUCGAGCGGUAAGGCCCUUUCGGGGGUACGACGAGCGGCGAACGGGUGAGUAACACGUGGGUGACCUGCCCUCAGCUCUGGGAGUAAGCCUCGGGAAACCGGGUCUAAUACUGGAUAUGACUCCAUGACGCAUGUUGUGGGGUGGAAAGCCUUGUGCGGCUGAGGAUGGGCCCGCGGCCUAUCAGCUUGUUGGUGGGGUGAGGCCUACCAAGGCGACGACGGGUAGCCGGCCUGAGAGGGCGACCGGCCACACUGGGACUGAGACA